GGGUCAGUAGGUUGGUCGUGCCACCGGUACGUACUGGUCUCACUGAUUCCUCCUUCCUGAAGAACCGUAAUGCCACUAAUUUGGUGUUGCGGGGAAACAGGACUGUUACUUUGAAAAAAUUAGGGUGUUUAAAGCAAGCUAACGCUUGAAUACAUUAGCAUGGAAUAAUGAAAUAGGACGAUCGAUCCUAUUUUGUUGGUUUCUAGGAUUGACGUA
rnacentral:rRNA from 1 species